GUAAAUAGCCAGAGAUAGCAUUUAUCAUUAAAAAGAAGAUAGAAUAUAGCUGGUAAUUAAUUAGAUAGAGAAUUUACUGGAGGUAGAAAUAUGUGGAUUGUUUUAUUUUUAAAUAUGUAGACCCCACUUAUAAAAAUAUGAUAUUUUUCUAGUUGUAUAAUAAUAGACAUUUUACACUCAGUAGUGUGGAAAUUUUCCAGAGUAUAUGAGUUUAAUAGUAAUUGGCAUGUGUUAUUUUAGACAUUUUUUUUAGUACAACAUGUGAGGUUGAGAAUCGAACUUGCAACUGAAUUAGGUUAAUUUUGGCAGUUAUAUUUUGGACAAAAUAAGACAAUUUAAAAAAUAUUUAAUAUAACCUUGCUUUAAUUUGAUAGUGGGCUAUUUAGGAUUAGUAUUGGGCUUAUUGGGCUGCAAAGGCCACCAGUUAGGGCUUUAGUUUUAGAAGCCCAUUUAAAGCUUAAAAGAUCCGCAACCAAGGUCGCGUAUUCAACAAGCAAUCCGUUUCCUUUAAAUUCAUUACCGCCCGUUAUCAUCCUCUCCACUACCAUUCUUCUGCUCUGCCGUGAAAGUUUCCUUGCAGUCUGGUUGUGUACUUCUCUCCGACGAGGGUUGCCUUUAUCGUCUUCCUCAGGUUUAAUUUCUAGUGUUUUCUUUUUGCUUAAUCACAGUGUUGUUUCUUUUCGGAUUGGAAUGUGGCAGCUUAAAGUUUAAAACUGCUGCGCUGGCGUUUUUUCUUCUCGCGAGGAAGUAGCCUGAUUGUUGCGACAGAUUUGAGAGCGUAAGUCAAGAACCAGAUCAAACGCUGUCGAUAUUUGUAACAUUUUUCAAACGUUGGGGUGGCUCAUUUUGCAAGCAACUCAGUUAUCUUCAAAUUCAUUCUCCCGCUCGCCCAUUUCUUUAUUGACUCGAUCUCCUGUGUCCUGACCAAGUCAGUUUGCUUCUAUUGCGGUGGCUCUGAAACCAGGACGGCUGCAAAACGCCAGAAAAGCGUGAAUCUCGGUGGUGGGUAAUGUUUCGAACUGCAAUUCCCAACGAACUUCCGCCAGACGUUGCAGGAACUUACCGGCCUGAGAUUUGGUUACUCGCAGGUCCAGAUGGUGCUCAUACAAAAUGAAGUUCACUAAUGUUAAGCGUAUUCGAGCGUGAUCUGGCUUUUUUGAUUAGUCAAAAUGUGAUACUUGAUAACUUUAUGUGUGAAACUUGCUGAACAUCAUCGGGACACUAGUAUUCUAACAAGGUGCUCUUCAAACUAGGACUGACUUUCCUUAGAGGAUGAAGAUUCUUUCUCAAAGAGCAAUCACUUUUAAUGGGGCAUCAAUUCUUCUAUAUGAUGGUCCUACCUAUUGGAACUAGUUAUGAUAGACCUGAUAUUUGUCAGUAUAGCAGGGCAUCAAUUCUUCUAUAUGAUGAUGGUCCAACCAAUUUGGAAAUGAUCUGAUAGACAUGAUACUUCGCAUGAUGAAAAAGAGUUUGCAGUUAUAGGUAGUGUUGGUGAUAGAUGAGUGGAAGGCUUCGCUCCACUUGGCCUUGGCAAAUGGCUGAUAGUAGGCUCUUUGUUCUCAAAUCCAAAUAUUUAAGACGAUAUGCUCAGUGGCAGCUUAGCAUCGGUGGAUCGGGCGACUGAGAACAAUUCUGGAGUAGCUUGUAAAACUAGCUGCCGACUGAGAACAAUUCUGGAGUAGCUUGUAAAACUAGCUGCCGACUGAGAACAAUUCUGGAGUAGCUUGUAAAACUAGCUGUUGGAGAACUGUGUCGAUGUAGUGAUUGACUAUGAGAUUACAGCUCAGAAACCAAUCGACAAGCAUUGAUCAGAUUUGCGAAGUUGUGACUUCCACCCACCAUAGUUAAUUAAUUUUGUACCUAAUUAACUUCAAUCCGUAAUUUGUCAAAAGGUAAUUAUGGAUUGUAGUUAAUUAGGUAAAAAGUUAAUUAACUAUGGUUGGUGGGGUUUGUCCAUCUUGUGAGAACAACUUGGCAAAUCUGAUCAAUGCUUGUUUAUUGGUUUUUGGAAUGUAAUCGUCAUCUGCCUCCACCCACACGCUUCUCCAAUAGUCUCUCUUGCCCCUUUUCCACACUCUCCACAUUCAAUAAUACACCUUCGGUGAAUCAAUGGCAUCUUUAUUUUCCGUCUUUCAAUUAUAAAAA